AGUGAACGCUGGCGGUAGGCCUAACACAUGCAAGUCGAACGGCAGCACAGGAGAGCUUGCUCUCUGGGUGGCGAGUGGCGGACGGGUGAGGAAUACAUCGGAAUCUACCUUUUCGUGGGGGAUAACGUAGGGAAACUUACGCUAAUACCGCAUACGACCUACGGGUGAAAGUGGGGGACCGCAAGGCCUCACGCGAUUAGAUGAGCCGAUGUCCGAUUAGCUAGUUGGCGGGGUAAUGGCCCACCAAGGCGACGAUCGGUAGCUGGUCUGAGGGGAUGAUCAGCCACACUGGAACUGAGACACGGUCCAGACUCCUACGGGAGUCAGCAGUGGGGAAUAUUGGACAAUGGGCGCAAGCCUGAUCCAGCCAUACCGCGUGGGUGAAGAAGGCCUUCGGGUUGUAAAGCCCUUUUGUUGGGAAAGAAAUCCUGUCGAUUAAUACUCGGUGGGGAUGACGGUACCCAAAGAAUAAGCACCGGCUAACUUCGUGCCAGCCGCCGCAGUAAGAC
rnacentral:rRNA from 1 species